AACCCAUGGUGAGGGCACCUUCGCAAUAGGUCCUUGUAUCUCUCCCACGCAUCAUAAAGGGCUUCCAAAUCCAUCUGCACAAAGGAAGAGAUAUCAUUACGUAAUUU
rnacentral:snoRNA from 1 species